rnacentral:sRNA from 1 species
CCCAUGGGUACAUGAAGGACUCAAAGUGGAAAAGGAAAAUGAGUGGGCAGUGCACAUGCCGGUUGAAUGACGAUGUUGUGACAACUACAACCAUGCAUAUGCGGAGUGGGCAGCGCAUAUGCCGGUCGAAUGACGAUGUUGUGACACUUACAACUGUGCAUGUACGGAGUAGGCAGUGCACAUGCCGGUAUGAUGCUGUCGUGAUAUUUACAAUCGUGCAUGUGCGGAGUGGGCAGUGCACAUGCCGGUAAUGAUGCACAUGAGUCGAGUGAGGUGAUGGUGGUGUAUGUGCUUAUAUAUAUACAUAUUUACUAUAUAGAGAUGCUUGGAUUUAAUAUGUGAUUGCAUUGACUGUUGAAAACUUGAGUAUUGUCAAAGUGUUCAAUUUAAUGUGCAAUGUGACAUGAAUGGAUUUUUUCGGUGGCAAUGAGAGCCCCUUGGAUUUUAUUUGGCCAGAAUUUCGUUGCAGCGAGAAUGCCUUUUCCCUGCGAUGAGAGUCAAUCUAUUAUGCUUGACUUGCUUGAAAUCAA